GAUGAACGCUGGCGGCGUGCCUAAUACAUGCAAGUCGAGCGAACAGACGAGGAGCUUGCUCCUCUGACGUUAGCGGCGGACGGGUGAGUAACACGUGGAUAACCUACCUAUAAGACUGGGAUAACUUCGGGAAACCGGAGCUAAUACCGGAUAAUAUAUUGAACCGCAUGGUUCAAUAGUGAAAGACGGUUUUGCUGUCACUUAUAGAUGGAUCCGCGCCGCAUUAGCUAGUUGGUAAGGUAACGGCUUACCGAGGCAACGAUGCGUAGCCGACCUGAGAGGGUGAUCGGCCACACUGGAACUGAGACACGGUCCAGACUCCUACGGGAGGCAGCAGUGGGGAAUCUUCCGCAAUGGGCGAAAGCCUGACGGAGCAACGCCGCGUGAGUGAUGAAGGUCUUCGGAUCGUAAAACUCUGUUAUUAGGGAAGAACAAAUGUGUAAGUAACUAUGCACGUCUUGACGGUACCUAAUCAGAAAGCCACGGCUAACUACGUG
rnacentral:rRNA from 1 species